rnacentral:rRNA from 1 species
GAUGAACGCUGGCGGCGUGCCUAAUAUAUGCAAGUCGAGCGAACAGACGAGGAGCUUGCUCCUCUGACGUUAGCGGCGGACGGGUGAGUAACACGUGGAUAACCUACCUAUAAGACUGGGAUAACUUCGGGAAACCGGAGCUAAUACCGGAUAAUAUAUUGAACCGCAUGGUUCAAUAGUGAAAGACGGUUUUGCUGUCACUUAUAGAUGGAUCCGCGCCGCAUUAGCUAGUUGGUAAGGUAACGGCUUACCAAGGCAACGAUGCGUAGCCGACCUGAGAGGGUGAUCGGCCACACUGGAACUGAGACACGGUCCAGACUCCUACGGGAGGCAGCAGUAGGGAAUCUUCCGCAAUGGGCGAAAGCCUGACGGAGCAACGCCGCGUGAGUGAUGAAGGUCUUCGGAUCGUAAAACUCUGUUAUUAGGGAAGAACAAAUGUGUAAGUAACUAUGCACGUCUUGACGGUACCUAAUCAGAAAGCCACGGCUAACUACGUG